rnacentral:rRNA from 1 species
UACGUAGGGUGCGAGCGUUGUCCGGAAUUAUUGGGCGUAAAGGGCUCGUAGGCGGUUUGUCGCGUCGGGAGUGAAACCAGGUGCUUAACACCUGGCUUGCUUUCGAUACGGGCAGACUAGAGGUAUGCAGGGGAGAACGGAAUUCCUGGUGUAGCGGUGAAAUGCGCAGAUAUCAGGAGGAACACCGGUGGCGAAGGCGGGUCUCUGGGCCGUAACUGACGCUGAGGAGCGAAAGCAUGGGGAGCGAACAGG